AAAUUGAAGAGUUUGAUCAUGGCUCAGAUUGAACGCUGGCGGCAGGCCUAACACAUGCAAGUCGAACGGUAACAGGAAGCAGCUUGCUGCUUCGCUGACGAGUGGCGGACGGGUGAGUAAUGUCUGGGAAACUGCCUGAUGGAGGGGGAUAACUACUGGAAACGGUGGCUAAUACCGCAUAACGUCGCAAGACCAAAGAGGGGGACCUUCGGGCCUCUUGCCAUCAGAUGUGCCCAGAUGGGAUUAGCUUGUUGGUGAGGUAACGGCUCACCAAGGCGACGAUCCCUAGCUGGUCUGAGAGGAUGACCAGCCACACUGGAACUGAGACACGGUCCAGACUCCUACGGGAGGCAGCAGUGGGGAAUAUUGCACAAUGGGCGCAAGCCUGAUGCAGCCAUGCCGCGUGUAUGAAGAAGGCCUUCGGGUUGUAAAGUACUUUCAGCGGGGAGGAAGGUGUUGCGGUUAAUAACCGCAGCAAUUGACGUUACCCGCAGAAGAAGCACCGGCUAACUCCGUGCCAGCAGCCGCGGUAAUACGGAGGGUGCAAGCGUUAAUCGGAAUUACUGGGCGUAAAGCGCACGCAGGCGGUCUGUCAAGUCGGAUGUGAAAUCCCCGGGCUCAACCUGGGAACUGCAUUCGAAACUGGCAGGCUUGAGUCUUGUAGAGG
rnacentral:rRNA from 1 species